AAGGUGGAUUUGUUAGUAACUGUAUUAUAUUUAUGUUUGGUGAAUAGUGGGACAGCGUGUGUACAUAUUGCCCGUCGCUCUCAUAUGUGUUAUGUUGGGAUAAGUCGUAACAUAGUUGGUAUAUCGGAAGAUGUGUCUAUUAGG
rnacentral:rRNA from 1 species